rnacentral:misc_RNA from 1 species
GAUGAAGAACGCAGCGAAAUGCGAUAAGUAGUGUGAAUUGCAGAAUUCAGUGAAUCAUCGAAUCUUUGAACGCACAUUGCGCUUCCUGGUAUUCCGGGGAGCAUGCCCGUUUCAGAAUCAUUAAAAAUCUCAUAAUACUUGCUUAUGCACUAUUCUUGUAAUAGUCUGUAUGUUAAGGGUUGUGGAUUUUGGAUGAUUUGUCAUUUGACAAUCAUUUAAAAUUGAUUGUAUGUGCUCCAAUUGCGUAUGUCUUUGGGUCUCUAAAGUGCAACAGAUUAUAUCUAUUCUCUUUGGUACUUAAGGAUGUACUUUGGUGUAUGUAACCAAAAGUUAUUAUACAGAUUCUAUGUGCCUAUGUGCAUAGCUUCUGAUAACUUGGUCUGAAAUCGGGCAAGAAAACCCGCUGAACUUAAGCAUAUCAAUAAGCGGGAGGA